rnacentral:rRNA from 1 species
UACGAAGGUCCCGAGCGUUGUUCGGAAUCACUGGGCGUAAAGGGAGCGUAGGCGGCGUGGUAAGUCAGAUGUGAAAUCCCGGGGCUCAACCCCGGAACUGCAUCCGAUACUGCCGUGCUAGAGUUUUGGAGAGGUAGCUGGAAUUCACGGUGUAGCAGUGAAAUGCGUAGAUAUCGUGAGGAACACUCGUGGCGAAAGCGAGCUACUGGACAACAACUGACGCUGAGGCUCGAAGGCCAGGGUAGCGAAAGGG